CCCCUAGCGCAGACAGCGAAGAGCUGGGAUGGAGCUCGCCUUGGCUCUGCUGGCCUUGGCUGCAGCUCUCCCGGAGAGCGGGGCACCCAAAGGAGAAUCCCUUACCUGCUCUCUCUUCAGGGAUGACAUCAUCGGCUCACCGCAGUCUUCAAGGACCACCUUCUUUGGACGUCAAGCUUUUGCUCAAGUGCCUGUGGCGAUACCUGCUGAACAUCUCUACCUUCUGAGCCAAGGAGCAUGGAUUCCUGGAACCCACCAGCAUACAGAGCAGCCCCUCGUGGACCCCGAGACCAUGACAUCAAGGGACAAGGGACAAAGAGGAUCAGCAGUGUCCAGUUAGCCUCCCUUUGGGUUCAAGCCUUGAACCAGUGCCCUAGUGAGGGGGCACUGGUCAUGACCUUCGACCUUUUUUCUGCUUGUGCCUUGAUUCUGAGCCCUUCCCUGUAUGUCUCUGCUUGUGUUCAUCUGCCAGUGAACUGGAGUGCUUCCCUCCCCAAGGGGGUGUCGUCCCUUGUGACUGACCAUGUUAUCCUAACAGUAUCCUGAGCAGAAGGGUCCCUUUGGGAGCCUCUCAGGAGGGGGACCUGGGCCAGGGGCCACCAGCAAUAUGCUGGCAACUCUGUGGGUGGGGGUGGGGUGCUUCUGGAAUGAGCAUGUGGCUGACCCCCAAAGGCGUGCUCCCCCCCUCCACCCACCUUUUUGGAGAUGUCCCUUCCUUUUGGGUUAAUGGGACAUUAGGAGCAACCUCCUAGGGUUGUUGUGAGAAUUAAAUGAGUUAGAGCAGCCUGAGGCAGGGCUGCAGAGCCCUCAGCACAUGUUUGUUGAAAGGUUUGCAGGUGGAUCUGUUCCCACCCACUCACUUGUCUCAUCUGCUCUCCUGCAGCCCCCCCGCAGCCCCCCUCCUGCAGCCCCCCCCCCUGCAGCCCCUGUGCACAGGGCUCUCCUUGCACCAGGUAGGGGCUCUUAAAGUCAGCAGGCCGGACCAUGUGUGGCCAUUUCCAGAGCACUUUCUAUGUACCAUGUUCAUGUUGUUCCUACGUAAUCUGUGUAUGCAAAGGGGGGAGGCGUGGUGUCCAGAGAGGGACAAAUUGGCGUUGAUGUUUCAUGACUUUAAAGAGGUAGGUGGGAAAGAGAACUGGGAGAACCCAGCCUCACUCGUGGGUUGGACUGAAAUUUACACCAAGGACAGUGACGUAUUUUGCUACAUUGCUGGCAAGAGAAGGGGUCAGAGUUGGACCUGGGUACCAUUGUGGCUGCCCCUGAUGGUCCCCUCCUCUGUCCUCAGCCUAAAGUUCUUCUGAGAGUCCCUUUAUUUCAUAUCAGACAUUUCACAAUGGGGAAAAGUCUAUCUGAAAUCCUAGCUUCCCAAGGGUGGUCUUGGGAGCUGCUGGGGGAGGGGGGUUGGCUCAAGUCUGGUAGCAAGGGCUGACUUCAUCUCUUAGCAAUGGUAUGAUCUUAGACAAGUCAUUUAACCUCCAAGUUUCAGUUCCUUUCACACCUAAAUAGGGAUUAAAAAAAGAAAAAAAAGUAAAGAAAAAAAAAGAAAGAAAAAGAAAAAAGUAAAGAAAAAGAAAAAUGGGGGGUGGGGGGAGAGGAAACCAGUUUAUCUAUUCAACAGGGUGUUUUGGAAGACCAAACGAUGUAACUCACAAGAAAGUGCUUUGUAAAUUGCCGUGAAAUUGCAAAAUACUUACUAACUAACCAAUGAGGCUGGCCCUAUUUCCCACUGUCCAGUCUUAUUGUCUCUCACAAUAAUAGUGAACACCCAGUAGGUGCUGGGUGUAUUUGUAUUCAAUAAAUAAAUUCUAGAAUUAAAAAAAACCCAUAGAAUUAAUUCAACAAACAUUUUCUGAGAUGCUGACCAUGUGCCCGACGCACCAGGCUAUGGCUGAGGUACAAAGAUAAAGAGAAUAGCCUCUUUUUGAGGCUAAUUGGGGUCCUCAUUUCACCAGCACUUUCUUUGGUCGCCUUUUAAACCAACCAGUUUUGUCCAGACAAGACAAAAAACACAAACACAAACAAAAACAACUGUAUCGCUUUAGGGAAGCCCAGCUUGGAGUGGACAAUAAUGUCCAGGCCUCUGAAAAGGGCUGAUUGGAUUCUGAAGCAAAUGGAAGCCGAAGGAGGGCUUAGAAGGUGACUAACGCAGUAGGCGGAGACCCGCUCUACAUUAAUUCAGGCUAUUAGGAGGGACCCUUUCCAUCUUCCAGAGUGGCCAGUGGCUUUCACCAUCGCCCGUUCUGUCCCUAACGUUCAGCACACAUGGAUGCUGGAGCUACCCUUUGCUCCUCUCUUGCCACUGUCCAUUCAUUUGAUGCUCACAACUCCCUGUCCUGAUCCAGGGCCGGCCUGCCAUCUCCCAGGGAAGCAGAGGUUGCCAAGUGGUUUCUCCGAAUGGGGCCCCCACCCCCAUAUCAUUCUCUUCACGACCUCUUCAGUUUUAGCAGUGGACAUGUACCUGUCUCAAGCCUGCACCUCCACUUCAGUUCCCCUCUGGACUCCUGACUCUGCUGUCCCCACCUGGAGCCCCACCUCCUCCUGUCCUCCUUCCUCGCCACUCCAGUGUCUGUCUUUCCUUCACAGCCCGGCUUCUCGAGGCCUGUCUACACUCGCUGCUUUCCUUCCUCACCUCCAAUUUCCCCUCCAACCCACUGCUUCCUGACUCGCUCUUCUCCAUCGAACGGCCCUCGCUCAGGUAAAGACUUUUCUGUAGCUUGACCCUUGGCACGACUCCAGCCUGGCUGGACACAAGGACACAUGCAUCUCCAUGCCUCCUGUUCCAUGGCUUCAUGGCUCUGGUUCCCUUCUAUUUUCAAACUACUGACUUCAUGGACACUACUCUCACCUUCCCUGGGAACUUGCAUUCCCAAGCCUCUCAGUUUCCCAAACGUGCCUUGUGCUACCCAGUUGGCAGGGCUGCCUAGACGAGCACUCUGGGGUUGGCUGAUGUGGGCUCAGGCCUUAGGUAAACCACUCCAUACUAGGACCACAGUGUCAGACGGCUCUUCCAAGCUAUCUUGGCUAAAACAGGGUUAAUGGUCUUCACCAGGAAGGCCAGGUGAGCUCUACCAGGUAAGCUCCAGAUGCCCUAGCUGAGAGACUGGAGGUAAAAUCAAUUAGGUAUUCCUGAGCAAAUGCAAUUUGGGUCACAAUUCAGUUUUCUUGAAGUUGAGUUCCCACAGAGAAGACCAAAGAAAAUUGAAGGGGUGGGGGAGGCAUUAAAGACAGUGAAGGUGAGGAGGGGGGAUUUAGAAAAAGUUCAGACCUACCCAAACCUCAUCUAGCAAAAGCUUUUCCUCCUAGGUUAGCCUGGGCUUAGAAGAAAAAAAAACCAGAAGGAAGCUUUUAAGUUGAUUACUCAGUGACAAAUCCCAGGAAACUUCCAUAUCACAUGGCCCCAUUCAAAGGUUUUGAGUUCCUCCUCUGAGGUUUAACCUCUGUACCUCCUGCCCUCUACCCGCUACCUCCCUGGACUGGUGAUUAAGUCCUGAAGGUACAAGAAGGGUCUCAGGGAACAACUAGCUCACAGUGCAGAGCCACCUCUGCUCCCAGCUGUUUGUUGUUGUUUUUUUUUUUUCUUUCAGUUUUUUUCUCCUCUUUUGCCCUUUCUCCCUAAUGAACACAGGGUUAAUUUUGGCCUGCAGAGUAAUGAGGUAGCUCCUGGACUCCAAUAUUUGUAAGGAGCCCUCUUUGUCUGUGAAGGAAAAACACACUGAUUACCAUAAUGAGCUGAGCUGGUGGCUUCCGGGUAGGGGGCCUUGGGUUCUUAAGCCAUACUUUAAUCCUGGUGUCCGAAGAUUCCCUUCAUGGGAGUCUAAACCUCCAUCCCAGGGCAAGACUCAUUGAGUGAGGUUGCAAGUUGAAGGUGUCUGUGAGGGGCUGCACAAAGUCCACACUGACCACACUCAUUACUUCUCACCCAGCCUCCUGCAAAGUUUCCUGCUCCCACCCCAGUCAUCUUCAGACCUGUUGCAGGCCCCAUGAAGGAGACUCCCUCCCUCCUUCCCUCAGUGGGUCCACUGGCUAAAGGCUCUGUAGCACCACGGGUUCAAAUUAGGUCUUGACCUUGUAUAGGAAGGAGUUGAAGCUAGAGACUAGGAUGAAGGCUAAGGCCUCCAGAAAGAGCCACACACAAGCCUCCCUCACAGCAUGGGGCCAGUUGGUACUGUGUCCACUGUCUCUAGGCUCCCCCUGUCUCAAAUAUCUGCCAGUCAGUAAAAUAAUAGGUCCCUGAAGCCGCUUCUGAUAUUCUAGGAGUCUGGGAGUAUUUCAGAAGCAAGGAAACAUGCUAAGGGCCUUUGCUCAGUAUCUGACAGUCCUAGAUGAUUGAGGUUUUGUGUAAGGAACCUCCAAAUUUAGCAGCCUUGAGCAACUCUCCCCCAGCUCUCCAGUUCUUAAUGUUCUAGAAGGAAGGCUCCCUGUAAAGGAGGAUUCAAGCUAACUGCUUCCUUGAGCGUGUUCACCCCUACUCCACUUCCUAGGACCCUCAAGGGUGCUUCUGUGCUUCAGGGGAUUUAAGCUCCCCACCCCCACCCUACCCCAGCCCCCUUGCUUCCAGCCCAGGCAUCCAGGCUGGCUUCAGAGUUGGCCCAGAGACCUAGAGCAUCCUGGGUACUUAAGAACAAUAGAGUCAGUCAGGACAGAGCAGGAAGCUAUGGAGAUGAGGCCAAGGAAGUGGGGGAGGUGACACGAAAUGCCCUGGCCCCCAAGUCUUCUGAGAACGACUGUUUUUUCUGCCUUUACUGCCCAUUCCCCUCCUCCAUUCUCUGUCUCAGCCUCCCUCUGUUUGUCUCCCUCUCCCUCCCAUUGGAUCUGGCCCUUUUGGGGUGCCCCUAGGCCACCCCCUCCUCCUCUGGGUGUCCCAGCACCAACCCGGUAAAUAGUGGGGCUCAGUAAGAGUAUGUGGGAUGUAUAGCGGGACAGGUGGACGAAUGGAUGGGCUCAACUGUCACUCCAGGGCAGCUAGGGUUCAGAAGGUGUAGGGUUGGGGGUGGGGGCUCAAGGGACUUGGGAGCAGCAGCUACCUGCCCUAGUCUGGGACCCCUUUGAAGGGGUCCUGAUGUUGCGCCCUGCAUUCAUCCGCGCGUUCACUCUGGCAUCCAACAGUUGAUCCUAACUGAGCGUGCCCAUGGUCCUGGCCCUGGGCUUGGCACCUGCCACCUAGCUUGUCCCUUGAUGGCCUCUGCUUCCCAGGGAGGGCAAGCUGGGGGGUUGUCUGGGAGCCAGAGCAGUGGUCUCUGGCUCCAUAGAGGGCAUUCAGAGGGCAUGGGGUGGGCCUGGUUUGCCUGCCCUGCCUUCACGCAGACCUGCCCACCCCCAGGGCCUUGCCCCCCUCUCUGCCUCCCUCCACAUUCAUGGCUGAGUAUGGGCUACUGGCCCUGCAGCUUAGGGCUGAGCCAAGCUUACAGGAACAGCUGUGAUGUGCCAUCGGUCCUGGCCACACAGGUCUCCCUCCCUCUUGAGCUGAUGGGGGUCUGAGGCUUUUGGAUCCUUCCCACAGUUUGUUCCUUCCCCUGGGAUGCAGUCCAGCCUUUCCGUCCCCAACCAUCAGGCUGAGGACUGUGUCCCAGCCGCCAGGAGCCUCCAGAGAGCAUGUGCAGGCCCCGCCUUUGCCUGGCUGCCCACCUGCUCUUCUUUACCUGCUGGCUGGCCCCUGCUUCAACAGCGCCCGGGUUCAUCACCCACUCAGCAUUCUGCUUGCAUAGUCUUUCCCCAUGAUGUCUCCCUAACACCAACCUGUGCCUCAGUCCCUGGGCUCACCCUAUUCCUCCCUCUCCCUCGGGUCUCAGCCACUGGUACCUGCUUUACAGGCUGGCUUCCCUUGCUAAGCCCAUACCUGUGGCUAACCUGGUCCACCUGCUGCCCUUAGCCUUGCCAUCAGAUCCCCAAUCCCAUUGUGCCCCCCAAUUCAGUGUUACGUCAGUUGCCAGCAGCCUCCUGGUGCCUGUUGGACAAUCCCUGGCUGGUUCUUCAUCUCCGGUGGGACUGAUUUCCAGGGUCUGAGUGACCAGGGGCUUAAGCCACAUUUAUGACUCGGCCUGCUGGCCCUGGAGACCCCUCAUCAUCAUCAUCGUCGUUCCCUGGCCUGUCUCGUCUUCCUGUACCAUUUCCUGUUGUGCUCAGGUUCUACAAACCGCCCAUCUUCACAGAAGAGCAGCUGGCAUCGCCCACCAUGCUGAAGAGCAAGCCACGGAGGAUCCCACAACGCCCAGCACGAGGACCCCAGGAUGCCAGCACAAGGACCCCAGAACGCCCAGCACAAGGACCCCAGGACACCCAGCGAGAGGACCCCACGACACCCAGCGCGAGGACCCAUCCCUUCACUAUGUGCAUUGUGCCACCCUCCUGGAUUUGGCCAAAGUCAUCACCCAGAAUCCUGCGUGGGACCCUGGACACAUGGACAUGGACACAUGCCCCUGGGACCCUCCAACUGUAAAUCGAUGGAAGCGCCCUUGUGAGUUGGGGCCUUCAAAGGGCUGAGGAUGCAGACGGAGGGACCAGCUUCUCAAAUAGGCUUCAAGCCUCCAUGACCUGAGCUCACCCCCUGGAAAUGUCUGGAAAACAUAAUGGGCAGGUUUUCUGUCUUCAAAGUUUCCAUCUAAACCUCUUCAAGUUCUUUAUUGUUUGGGACUGAGACACUUGGGGACGGUAAUGGGGACUUUCUUUUGUAUCUGUCUUGAAAGGCCAAAAUAUUUUUAUAUUGCUGUAGACAAAGCCACCUAUUUACAAAUGAACUCUGUUCUGUCGUUUCCCACUGGGAAGACUGUACCAUGUUUGUGUCUCUAUGUAUUCUGGGGUCUUGAAACAGGUUUCUCAUGGGGAUGGCCAUUCACUGGGGCCCAGAGGGGCAGUCUGCCCUGCCAAGAGGGUCUGGGGAAGGAGGGGCUAGUCUUGGAUCUGCCCCUUGUAUGUCCAGGGGUGAGCCCUGGGAGAAUCUGGUGGUGAAAGAACGUAUGCUGUGUUUGCUCCACAUCUUCCAUUUGUGUUUGUUUCUGGGCUGCGGGUUUGCAUACUCGGGUGGGUAACUUGGUGGGAGAAAGCAGGAAGGGCCAGGAGGGCACGGACGCUCGGGUUUUCUUGUCUGGAGGCCGUUUCACUGGUGUGUGUUACAUCAUGUAACAAAUGUUUAGAUGGAUGAGAGAAGGAAUCAGGAAGGAAUAAAGAGACAAAUAGAAAUGAGGGAACAAGUCUGGAUGGGAGCAUGCAGCCGCCAUUCUGUCUUUUCAUGCCCAGGCAAUCAAUAUACAAAUCAAUAAACUGCCAAGUCAAUAGGCAUAUAGGGCCACAUGCAAACUGGUAUUGGAUCAUCAUGGACCUAAGAAAUUUUUAAUUAAAGAAGGAAUCCUAAAUAAAAGGAAAGUAGCGGGGGAGGGGAGCUGUCUAAACCAGCCCUGAGCUUCCGAGGGCCCUUAAUGUGAACAGAUGGAUGAUGAUGUGAUUAAAAAGAGAAAGAAGCAGGAAAGAAAGAAAACAAACAAAAAAUGAUAAAUCACCACAACGAAGCGAGGGGCUAUGAGACAAUGCAAGGAGAGCCUUCCCAGGGUAGUAUGGGGUGCUGGUGAGUUAAUCUCAUCUGGGCACCCUCGCUCCAUGGGGAUGAGAGACAGCAAGAAGGCCAGGACACACAGAAAGCUGGAACAUGAUGGAGAGGCAGUAUAGAAAGAAAAAGAAGGAAAAAAAUCUAUUAAGCAGACAGACAAGUAGCUUCACAGGAGGGUAAAGCUAGGAUUCAAAAUCUGAACACUUAAUUAGUAGCAGAGGCUUAAAUACUAAAAAGAAAGAAAGCAGGAAGAAAGGGUGGUAGAUGUGAAUGCUUGAAUGAAAGAAAGAGGCAGGGAGCUGCAUGGGCCGCAGAAGAAUGUUUCCAGGUGACUCUCUUGUGCACUGGCCUAUGCAGCUGAGCACGACAAUGGGGGUGGGGAGGUGGGAUGGGGAGAGGAGGAAAGCAAUGUAAAUUCUAUCUCAGAAAGAAGAAAGGUAAUAAUGUGCUCACAGAUAGGUAGAUGAAUACAGGCAGAAGACAGAGCCCUGUUAGGGACAGGACGAAAAGCUGUGCCAGCAGACUGGUUAAUUCCCAUCUGUGUUUCUGAGAUGGACAAUGACCCACCCGACCAAGAGACCUUUCAGGCAACAAUAUGUCGGGGAGGGCUUCAAUGGGGCAGUGGAGGGGUGGCCCAUUAAUAGCAGAUUAUGAUGUAUCCAAUUAGGUGCACCUGCCCUCUGGAAGUGCAGAAACCAGUAUUGAAAUGGAAAGAAAGACUGAAUGGGUGCCUGAGUGCGUGAAUGAAUGAAUGAGAGAAAAAGAUUUGCAUUCACUCUAAGGGGGAGGGUGCUGCAGGGGCCCAAGGGUCAUCUGAUCUCCCAGAGAAUAAAAGGGCGAAAGAGUGGAGAAAGCAACAAUAAGAUGGGGGACAAAUGAAAAGACGCACAGAAGAUAAUAAGUGGGACAAUUAAGUCUAGGAGAGAGGGCUUGUUUAACACAAGUCAUCCAUAUUCAUUCAAAAUUGAGGCCCUGGGCUGGGGUGGAGCUCUGGGAUGGAGCUGUUGCCUAGCAUGUGCCGAGCUCUGGGUUCCAUCUCAGCUCUGAAAAACAAACAGAGCAAAGUUAUGGCCCAGGGGUUGUCAACGAUGAUGAUGAUGAUGACGGUGAUGAUGGUGAUGAUGAUGAUAGAGAAGGAACAAAAAGCUAGAUUAAUCAGAGGAUGCAGAGAAGGAAAAAUGUUGAAAAAAAAUUUAGAUGGACAGAUAUGUAGGAGAAAAGGCAGUGCUUACAUCAGUGUUUAAAUAUGAUGAAUACAUAUUAUCUGUUGAGUGUAUUUAAUAGGGGUGGGACUUAUUCAUAAAAGAACAAAUAUUGAAAAGAAACAAGUUGAUGAGUGACCAUGAAAACCCGAGUGAAGCACAAUGACUUUAGUUAAUCACUGCUGCACUCAAGCUGUGUGAGGGCUAAGAAUGUGCAAAGGGAUAAAGAAACGGGACGGGACAGACAGACACAAUAAAAAGGUUGAGGACAUAAAUGAAUAUACAUGCAGGCAUGUGCCUGAGAGGGCCAUACAGGGAUGAGAGAGAGAGAGAGCAGCAAGAAUUAUGAUUAAUUCAAAACUGGGCUCUUGAGAUAGCUAAAUGUCUCCUGAACCAAAGCGCCAGCACAAGGAAUUACAGAACAAAAGAGCUGCCGGCUGACCCAUGUGGAGAAGGCCUGGGACACUCAGAUCAUGCUUAAUCUAAAUCUGUGCACCUGAGGUCCAUAAAUAAAAGAAUAAAUAUUGAAAUAAAAGAGUGACAGAAAGAAUGAAUGGAUACGCGAAUGGCUGAAUUAGAAAUGGAAAUGCCUAGAGCAGCCAGGAAGGAGUCGCCCAUGGGAGUUUUGCUCAUCUUAUUCUGGGCACCUGAGGUCCCGUAGUAAAAAGAUGCAAGGGAGAAGAGAGAAUGGGAAAAGGCACAAUGAGAGAAAAGCAAAGAGGAGGAAAUGAGAAGCCAGUAAGAGAGGAAGCAAUAUGUGGGUGCCUCAUAAGAGAAAAAUCUGCGAGGAUUAGUGAUGAGGGUCUCAUUAAUCCUGAAGAUCGAUGAGGUAAUCCAGACCCAGGAUCUUAUGGGGAGGGAGAAUAGAGAGAAUUAAAAAAAAAAGAUGCAAAAAGGAGAGAAAGAUAAUAAAACAAGCAACAUGAUAAAUGGGUAAUUAAGAGAGGCUGUCUGAACAGAAAUAGUAAUGAGUUCCCAUGCAUAGUCCUUAAAUAGAUAAAUACAUUAUACCUUUCAAAGAAUGCAUGAAAAAUCGAAGAACACCAUGGCCCCCAAACAAGGAAGCACCUUCCAUUGUAAUAAAAUACAUGCAGUGGAGGGCCAUAAAUAACAGUAAAUGCUUAAAUGUAAAAGGUGAGCAGACACAGGGAAGAAGAUUGCAAGCACAGAUACAUGAGGGAGCCAAUGUUUGUUUUGCACAUGGGAUUUUGAAUAAAACAAUUAUGUUCACAGGAAAUUAAUAGGUUAAAAACAUUUCAAUCCAAGACACAGGAAGGAGAAGGAAAGGAAGAGAGAUUAUGAGAGACAGGGUGAAGACUCAGGGCGCACUUGGCAUGCCUUGUUUCAUUCUGCACACCUGGGUUUAUAAAAAUGAGACCAUAGGAUCAGAAAGCUGGGGAAAAAAUAGGAAAUGAAUGAAAACAUCCUGGAAAAAAAAAGGAAGAGGGAUUUGCAAUGAAAGUGUUUCCAAGAUCUGAUGGUUAUGGUUCAUUUAAAGCUGUGACAUUGAUGUCCCCAAAGGAAUCACAUCUUAACGGAUGCUCUUGUCAAUGAGAAGAUGAUAAAAAUAUAGGCAGAAAAGAAGGGAAGGGGAGACACAGGAAGAGAGGGAGGAGGUGCAUGUGCUGUUCACUGAGAUUGGUAACGGAUGGCUAUUGCCUGACCACAGACUGCUUCUACACAGCCUAACUGGCUGGGAGCUCCUAACUGAGGAAGACUCUAGCCUUGGAGUACCAUUGCCAUUUCCUGGUUGUGUGGGUCAUUUCAUUGUCUGUCACAUCCUCAGUCCAAAGACAGAUCCUUGCAUAGUGCCCUAUCCACAGACUUGGGUAGGUGAGAAGGCUUUAGGCUUGGGUAGAUGAUUGAAUGAUAGAUAAACCCAGUGGGGAUCUUGACCCCUCCUGGGCCAGGAUCUCUUGUGAGCCUUCCAUGAUGGAGCUUUGCCAACCAAGGGGCAGGAGGAGGUCAGGGGGCAGGAGGCCUUGCCUGUUGCAAACCAUCUUGGGUGUGAGGUGCAGGGAAAGUGAAGGUGACCUGGAAGCCCUGAGUCCCAAGAAGCCCUAGGGUGCCUGCUUGUUCUUGCAGCUCUCUGAGAUGUGCCCAAGUAGGCACUAGCCUAUCUCAGCUCGGGGUUCUAAGCAGUUGUAUCUCAGCCUGCACUUUCAGACAUGAUCCUGGGUCCCAGUCCCUAGACAUGCCACCCCUGGAGCCCGUUUCAAGGCCUGUCUUCUAGAAUGUUUAAAGAUGUGUUCUGUAACCAGUAAAAAGCGCGUUUGUACUGUGUGUUGAAACUGUCUUUUCACAUGCCCCUGUGGGCUGCGUGGGGAGACAUGGAGAGUUGUUUAUUCUGGUAUCCCCCUGGGACUCUGCUUCUGUCCAUUUUUCUUUCUCUGUUAUGGACAAGAUUUGUACAGCUGUGUAUAGUGUGCCUGUGUCCAUCCAUUAAAAAGGAGUCACAGUCCCUCUUGGCUUCUCAAUUUCUGUUGGGGAUGUUAAAAAAAAUUUUGAUUCUUACCAAGUGCCCAAGCAAGAAUAGAAUAGCUCAGCUGGAUCCAGGGAGCAUGUGCAGACCUUGGUACAGGGUGGGCUGGUGGGUUAUGGCAAGGGGACUCUGGUGAGAGCCAUGUCCAGGCCCAACAGAAAGAAGGAGUGACAGGCAGGGUGGGUGAGGCUGCUGCUACACCUGAGUUGUGGGAGGUCUGAAAUGCCAGCAAGGAAGAGGGGCCCCAGGGCGAAGAGUUUCCCUCAAGUCUUUAGGAUUGCAGGCAGGGAGUGCUGGAGGAAGCUGGCUGAAGAAGGAAGAUGGCCACUCCCUACGCUUCCAGCUUCAAGCUUUUUAGUGUAGGCCCUGGAUAGAUGGCGACAGCCUCCGAUCGUGGAAGACACGCACUUCACGUGUCAGAAGGCACCUUCUGUGCCCCCAGCACCACGUGUCUGGGCCACGUGAGCAACGCCACGUGGGCCUGACGUGGAGCUGGGGCCGCAGGGGUCUGCUGGCCUCCUCUUUCCGAAUCUGGGGUUCCAGGCUCUGCCUCGGCGUUUACCAUCCCUGGGAACAACUGCUGACCCGGCUUCCUGAAGAUUGUCCAGUCAAGCCCAAGUGACCCUUUGAGAUGAGAGGGGUGGGUGGAGAAGCUCAAGAGAAGAAGACUGGGAGGGUCUUUGCAUGGGACGCACAUGUUAGAUGCUAGAGAGUCAGGCAAGGCUGCAAGAUGGCAGCCACGAGGGAGGGUUGCAGGGAGGAGGAGAAGGGCAUGGCCAUGUGAAGGCUAUAGGUAGGAAGACAGUGACAUGGGACUGCAUGGGGUUGUGUCUCUAGGUGGGCCUUGAUUCAACAUUCAUGCCACGAGCUUGGAGGGGUAUCCUGGAUUACUUUAGGCCAGUUGGACCCACUGCUGCCUUAGAGGGUCUGGGGGCUUGGGUAGGUGACUUUGCUGUGUCACCUUGGGACUAACGAAGGGGAGAUCCUGCUGUUUUGAGUCUUUGACUCUUAAUCAGAUUUAGAAUUCCGAGUGUCUCUAGUUCUGGGUUCUGAGAGUUAGUAGAGCUCCCUAGGAUACAGUACACCUGUGAGGAGGGUGGUCUGCAUGUGCUCCCAAGAUGAGGUCCUAGCACCUUUGCCUGUUCAGGGCUACCUAAGUCAUAGUUUUUUGUUACAAUGUGAUAAGACAAAGCAAAUUUUGUCUUCUGAUUGACCCUCAUGUGCACCACUUAAAGUCCUUUCACUGAUGGUAUACAACUCUCCUCGGCUCCCCCCGCAACUUCCAGCCCAUCCUUGGGGCAGAUGGGCAAAAGCCCCUGGUGUUUCCUGAGUUAAAAGUGUCACUGUAAAGACGUGUGACUCAGAGCAGGGGGAAGCACACCCCCAAUUCCGCCCUUCAUGUGCUCCAUCUUUCUUUCUGCUUUCCAAAUUCAUCUCUUAUGAACACUUCUUUCCCAUUUAACGAACAUCCAUUUUUUAAAGCCUCAUUGGCAUUGUUCACUUUUUGUUGUUGUCCCCUGUCUGUUGCAACAAACAUCUUGUGGUCCAUGUUUUCUUUGCUCCACAGUCUUUCACCUGCUUGGGGGUCCCCUGAACGGCUAUGACAUCAUGGUCGUCUACCCAUCUGACUGUUGCUGGUGCAUGAUCUUCUCUUUUUUUAUAUCACAAAUGACAUCACAACUAAUGGCUUUGCACGACCAGCUUCUCCAGCCCUUUCAAGUACUUCCCUACAUCUAGUUCUUCCCAUGGCUUCUAUCUUUUCAUGUUGCAUCCUUCUUUCUGCUAGACUGUGAGCCCACUCAGGGCAAGGAUCUUGCGGAGCUGACCUCUGUAUCUCUUGUAGGAUGUGUAUGAAUGUGGGCUGGGUGUAUGUGGAAGGGUAGAUAGGUAUGAGUGACAGAGUGAUUGCGGGCUUGGCAGGCAGAUGAGAGGAUAGAUGAAUGGAUGAGUGAAUGAGAGAAGGAGUGAGUGGGUGAGUGAAUGCAUUCUCUGUGGCUGAGCUUCCUGAAUGAGAGGUUAUGGGUAGUUGUAUGGGUGUUGAUUGAUUUCAGAAGGCCUACAGUAUUUUAUCAUGUCCAAUGAUGUAUUAGUAUUUAAGGUAAUGUAUUAGUAUUUAAGAUCUGCUAAUUUUUUUCUCUGUUAAAAAUGCUUUCAUGUGUGUUUUAAAUCUUGUUCUAAUUACUAAUGAAGACAAUACUUUCCAGCCAUGUUUGUUAACAUAUUGUAUCUUAAUCUUCUGUGAACUGUUUGUCCAAGUCCAGUGGUUCAUGGCUUCUUAGGGAGAUCCACCAGGGGUAUCCUUAGGUGAGGUGAGGGCCUUUCUCUCUGGAGGCAAUCCUGUUGGGAGGGGUCUUCUGUAGACACCUACAGAGUGGUGUGAGGAGGCCCAGCUGACCUUUUAGGUCAGUUUGACUUUAGAAUUUACUUUGGGAAAUAGGGAUGUUUAUAUCUUCCACCAUCAGGGAGGGGACAUUUUUAGGUUUGCAUCUAGGUACAUCAUGCCUUUCCAGCUUAGGAGCUCUGAUUGGUCCUGAGUGGCUCUUGUAGUUUAGCAGUCCUUUAUCUUGUGCCACUGAGUGAUGGACUGCCUUCCCACCUAUCCUCCUAUUCUGGAACCAGUUCUUAUGGGAAUUGGCUUCUUAGUGCUCUGUGAUGUGUGCACACUUCCUUUGGCCUUGGCUAUACUUGUGCCUCCAUGGUAGUUGUGGACUUUCCAGAAUGAAUGGGAAACUUGGUUCAAGGCUGAUGUGAACUGCCUCAGGUUUAGUUCUGGGAGCAAGGCCAUCCUGUGGUCUCUGUUCUUCUCAUGACUUUGUCACAGGGCAGUUUCUGCCAUUUUGGUAGAGGACAUAAUCAAGGAGAGCCCAUUCCUGCCUUCUGGAAUACUCUCCCACCCUCUAUUAUAGCACUGAGCAUGUCUGCCUGUGUUCAGCCCUCUCACCCCAUGCUUACCUAGACAUAAAGCUUGAGAAGCCAGUGGUGAUUUUCAACAUGACUUUAAUCCAUCUAUCCAUCCAUCUAGCUGCCACCAUCCAUCCAUCCAUCCAUCCAUCCAUCCAUCCAUCCAUCCAUCCAUCCACGCAUUGGGCCUCCAUCUCUUGACCUGGAGCUUUGAGCCUCUCCCUCUCCUGAAAGCAAACCCUUUCACCUUGAGCAAGCUGUGUGGCACCAUGGGCUGUGGUCAUGAAGCAACUCCCCCAUUUUGUAGCCUCCAACUACUAGGUCACUGCUCUGAGCACGUUCCAGCUGGAUCCCAUUACCACAGCUUUUUGUCCAUGAUGCUUCUCACACAUUACACACCUCCACUGUGAUCCAGGAGGGUCAGGCUACCAGCUUGGCCCGGGGCCGACCCUUCCCACCGUUAGCAGAGCUGCCUCCCCAGGCUUCCCCUGCCUGGUGCAUGGUCCCUGUCAUGAGCUUUGCCUUCAGCCUUGCAGCUUCCUCCAGCAGAUGGCAGUGGUUGUAACUCGUGCGCAUUUCUUCACUCCUUCAUUCAUUCCCGUAUAGUCAGCAAGCAUCUUAAACAAUUAGCUAGUGCUAUACUAGAGCUGGCUCACAAGAACUCAUGCCCCUAUUGCCCUUUGCAAGAGAAGAUGGGGGCAUUUGCAAGGAAGCAAUGUUUGUGUGUCCAAUAAAGUGAGCUCCUUGAUUUCAAUUCAAACUUAAGGCCUGCGUUUUGUUGCAAGCUUGAUUGCGUUCUUCAACUUUGUUCCUCACAAAACUAGGUUGAUUAGUAAUCAGCAAACUGUGUUCCCUGGGUGUUCAGAAAUCAUAGCCCAUAUCCUUAAGAGGCCCAAUGGGGAGUGGACAUGUGCACUAGGCAGUUUUUCAAGACUGUGAGGCACCUCAGUCUUUUGCAAGGAUGAUCUGAGAGUCAUUCCGGCCACUUUUGAGCUCAGCUAAUGUGAGGCUCUUUUCAGAGAAAAUUGCAGGAGGUGAUUGCUUAUACAGGUGACAAGGAUUGUGCCCUAGGCAGGGGCUCUUUCUGAGCAAUCUAUUCGCAGACCCCGGUGGGCAAGGCACAUGGCAUUUUACAAACCCUGAUCUCAGCCCUGUGCAUUUGAGUGGGUCCCAGGAUAGUGGGAACCUUUCUCCAGCUUUCUGCGGGGGAGGGGAAGAGGCACAGGUCACUUCUGACUUUGGUGCUUCGUCCUGGAAGGAGUAGGGAAUUGGCAAAGCCAGGACCUGGAGCUGGACAAAUUGUGUGGUGGCCCUUAUCUGAGAGCUUGGGUGUCUUCUGUGGUAGGGACUGUGGCGCCCACCUCUCAGGGCUGUUGUGAGCAUUGGUGUAACUGGAUUUCUGACUGUGACUCUAGAAGGCAUUGUAUGUGUCCCUGGGGGUGUGCCAGGGCAUUGGGAACUCUAGCACCAGGGGGUGGGGUGGCCUUGCAUGGUGGGAAAUAGUUUUGUUUUGUUUUGUUUUAUCCUGAUCAAAGGGUAUAUGCUAAAUUUAUGUGUUAUUUUUCAUAUAAACUAGGGGCUUUCACAACAUGGUUUGAGGGACUCUUCAGGUAGUGCCUCUGCUCUUGCUUCCCCCUUGGACACAUCCAUACCCACCUCUUCGAACAGUUGGGAGUGCCUUGUAGCUCUCUGACUGAGAACCAUGCCUCUGAGUCAGGCCUGUAUAUGGCACCUAAUUUCAUCCCUUUCCUAAAGUCUCUUACCAGGAGAGUAUUUGGCAUGGUCUGGUAGAUAUCAUUCUCCUCUUCCCAGUGUCUUCUUUCCCACCAACAGCAACAGGCCAAAGUGCCUGAAAUCUGGUGCCUACCACAGUGCCUGGCCAGGGGUAGGGGCUCACUUGUCUUCUUCUAUUUGGUCUGUGUAGAUAGAUGGGCAGCUAACCAAACUGUAACCCAUCCCAGGGCAGAUGUUUAUAGUCUCAUAGAGAGGUCUGGAGUGAAUGAAGAAUGUAUUGGAAUCUAUAUCUAAUCAUCUUAUUGUGUUUCUCUCUUCCCAUCUUGUGAACUAACCACUGUUGUAUUGUAGUGGGCAUUUGUUUUACAAGCUAAGUAAAGGAACUUUAGUUUUCA